rnacentral:tRNA from 1 species
AGUUCCGGCACAAUUCAAUGCGCUUCUCCAGAUUUGCACUCUGACGUGAAACACCACAGAAC